rnacentral:rRNA from 1 species
CAGCAGCCGCGGGAAUACGUAGGGUGCGAGCGUUAAUCGGAAUUACUGGGCGUAAAGCGUGCGCAGGCGGUUGUGUAAGACAGGUGUGAAAUCCCCGGGCUUAACCUGGGAACUGCGCUUGUGACUGCACAGCUAGAGUAUGGCAGAGGGGGGUGGAAUUCCACGUGUAGCAGUGAAAUGCGUAGAGAUGUGGAGGAACGCCGAUGGCGAAGGCAGCCCCCUGGGCCAAUACUGACGCUCAUGCACGAAAGCGUGGGGAGCAAACAGGAUUAGAUACCCGCGUAGUCCCUGUCUCUUAUAC